rnacentral:rRNA from 1 species
GGUUAAGCGACUAAGCGUACACGGUGGAUGCCCUGGCAGUCAGAGGCGAUGAAGGACGUGCUAAUCUGCGAUAAGCGUCGGUAAGGUGAUAUGAACCGUUAUAACCGGCGAUUUCCGAAUGGGGAAACCCAGUGUGUUUCGACACACUAUCAUUAACUGAAUCCAUAGGUUAAUGAGGCGAACCGGGGGAACUGAAACAUCUAAGUACCCCGAGGAAAAGAAAUCAACCGAGAUUCCCCCAGUAGCGGCGAGCGAACGGGGAGCAGCCCAGAGCCUGAAUCAGUGUGUGUGUUAGUGGAAGCGUCUGGAAAGGCGCGCGAUACAGGGUGACAGCCCCGUACACAAAAAUGCACAUGCUGUGAGCUCGAUGAGUAGGGCGGGACACGUGGUAUCCUGUCUGAAUAUGGGGGGACCAUCCUCCAAGGCUAAAUACUCCUGACUGACCGAUAGUGAACCAGUACCGUGAGGGAAAGGCGAAAAGAACCCCGGCGAGGGGAGUGAAAAAGAACCUGAAACCGUGUACGUACAAGCAGUGGGAGCACGCUUAGGCGUGUGACUGCGUACCUUUUGUAUAAUGGGUCAGCGACUUAUAUUCUGUAGCAAGGUUAACCGAAUAGGGGAGCCGAAGGGAAACCGAGUCUUAACUGGGCGUUAAGUUGCAGGGUAUAGACCCGAAACCCGGUGAUCUAGCCAUGGGCAGGUUGAAGGUUGGGUAACACUAACUGGAGGACCGAACCGACUAAUGUUGAAAAAUUAGCGGAUGACUUGUGGCUGGGGGUGAAAGGCCAAUCAAACCGGGAGAUAGCUGGUUCUCCCCGAAAGCUAUUUAGGUAGCGCCUCGUGAAUUCAUCUCCGGGGGUAGAGCACUGUUUCGGCAAGGGGGUCAUCCCGACUUACCAACCCGAUGCAAACUGCGAAUACCGGAGAAUGUUAUCACGGGAGACACACGGCGGGUGCUAACGUCCGUCGUGAAGAGGGAAACAACCCAGACCGCCAGCUAAGGUCCCAAAGUCAUGGUUAAGUGGGAAACGAUGUGGGAAGGCCCAGACAGCCAGGAUGUUGGCUUAGAAGCAGCCAUCAUUUAAAGAAAGCGUAAUAGCUCACUGGUCGAGUCGGCCUGCGCGGAAGAUGUAACGGGGCUAAACCAUGCACCGAAGCUGCGGCAGCGACGCUGAUGCGUUGUUGGGUAGGGGAGCGUUCUGUAAGCCUGCGAAGGUGUGCUGUGAGGCAUGCUGGAGGUAUCAGAAGUGCGAAUGCUGACAUAAGUAACGAUAAAGCGGGUGAAAAGCCCGCUCGCCGGAAGACCAAGGGUUCCUGUCCAACGUUAAUCGGGGCAGGGUGAGUCGACCCCUAAGGCGAGGCCGAAAGGCGUAGUCGAUGGGAAACAGGUUAAUAUUCCUGUACUUGGUGUUACUGCGAAGGGGGGACGGAGAAGGCUAUGUUGGCCGGGCGACGGUUGUCCCGGUUUAAGCGUGUAGGCUGGUUUUCCAGGCAAAUCCGGAAAAUCAAGGCUGAGGCGUGAUGACGAGGCACUACGGUGCUGAAGCAACAAAUGCCCUGCUUCCAGGAAAAGCCUCUAAGCAUCAGGUAACAUCAAAUCGUACCCCAAACCGACACAGGUGGUCAGGUAGAGAAUACCAAGGCGCUUGAGAGAACUCGGGUGAAGGAACUAGGCAAAAUGGUGCCGUAACUUCGGGAGAAGGCACGC